rnacentral:rRNA from 1 species
GACGAACGCUGGCGGCGUGCCUAAUACAUGCAAGUAGAACGCACAGUUUAUACCGUAGCUUGCUACACCAUAGACUGUGAGUUGCGAACGGGUGAGUAACGCGUAGGUAACCUGCCUGGUAGCGGGGGAUAACUAUUGGAAACGAUAGCUAAUACCGCAUAAUAUUAAUUAUUGCAUGAUAAUUAAUUGAAAGGUGCAAUUGCACCACUACCAGAUGGACCUGCGUUGUAUUAGCUAGUAGGUGAGGUAACGGCUCACCUAGGCGACGAUACAUAGCCGACCUGGGAGGGUGGUCGGCCACACUGGGACUGAGACACGGCCCAGACGCCUACGGGAGGCAGCAGUAGGGAAUCUUCGGCAAUGGACGAAAGUCUGACCGAGCAACGCCGCGUGAGUGAAGAAGGGUUUCGGAUCGUAAAGCUCGGUUGUAAGAGAAGAACGGGUGUGAGAGUGGAAAGUUCACACUGUGACGGUAUCUUACCAGAAAGGGACGGCUAACUACGUG